UUACAACGGAAUUGCAUAAUAUAAAAUCAAUAUUCAAAUUUGAUCAAACAGCAUUCAAUAAUUAUGUUAAACAAAAAAAAAACAAAUAUAAAAGGGAAAUAUUUUUCCCUGUGCUUGAUACAAUCAUUAAUGAUUUAAAUGAAAGAUUUAAUUAUGAUUGUUUAAAUUUUUUAUCUCAAAUAUCUCUUUUUACACCAGCUGGAAUUAUAGCCAAUGAUAGAAUAGAAGGGUGGCAAAUAUCUCAAAUUUGUCAUACUUACCAAUUAAAUGCUCAAGAUAUUGCUCGUGAAUAUAAUGAUUUUCGAUCUUUAUAUUUGGAUUCACAAGCAAUCAUUUAUUGCAAGGAUCUUUUGAAAAUAAAAAAGAAUGAUGGGUUAUAUAUUGAUGAAAGUAUUGUAAACGAUGAAACCGAGGAAGAUAUCAAUAACGAUAACAUCAUAAUUAAUACAAAAAAAUGGAUAAAAUAUUCAUUUAUACUACCAUAUCGUCUUUUAAAUAAAUUAAAUUCUUAUUCUAAUUUAUAUUUAUUAUAUAAAUAUUUAUUGACUCUACCAACUACUUCUUGUUCAGCCGAAAGAGUGAUGAGCAAAGUCAAAAUAAAUAAAACUAGAAUGCGGAAUAAAAUUUCUGACCCCUUUUUAGAAAAUUUACUUCUAAUAUCCAGCGAAAUUGAUGUUUUUGAAAGAUUUAAAAUAGACGACAUUAUAACGCGAUUUGCAUCUACGUCUAAAAGAUUAACUAAAUUAUUAAUAAAAUAAGUUAUAUCUUUUUCACAGCUAAUUAUAUACGCCUUUUUAAUAAUGUAAAUUUAAUUUAAUAGUUUUUUAUAUCAUUCUAGUCCGGUGCAUAAUAUAAUACUAUAUUCAUUUUAUUUAAAUAUUUUAUAAUAGUUAUAUUUACAUAAAUGUUUUUAUAAUUCCAGUGCAAAAUAUAUUAUAUUCAUUUUAUUUUAAUAUUUUUAUAUAAAACUUAUAUUUACAUAGAUGUUUUUAUAAUUCCAGUGCAACUAUAUUCAUUUUUUUCUCAUAUUUUAUAUAAAAGUUAUAUUUACAUAAAAAAAUUUAUAUUUCCAGUGCAAAAUAUACUCUAUUCAUUUUAUAUUUUAUAUAAUAGUUAUAUUUACAUAAAUGUUUUUAUAAUUCUUGUGCAAAAUAUACUAUAUUCUUUAUUCUAAUAUUUUAUAUAAAAGUUAUAUUUACAUAAAAAUUUUUUUUAUAUAAUAGUUAUAUCUAUAUGAAUGUUUUUAAUUAAUAUAAAGGCAUUAGUAUUUAUAGAA